CUAACACAUGCAAGUCGAGCGAAGUGCUUAUGAUGAAAUCUUCGGAUAGAUUCAUAAACCACUUAGCGGGGGACGGGUGAGUAACGCGUGAGGAACCUGCCUUGUACAAGGGGAUAGCCUCGGGAAACCGGGAUUAAUACCCUAUGAUACUUAAAAUUCACAUGAAUAUUAAGUUAAAGCGAAUUAGCGGUGCAAGAUGGUCUCGCGUCCCAUUAGUUAGUUGGUGAGGUAACGGCUCACCAAGGCCACGAUGGGUAGCCGGCCUGAGAGGGUGAUCGGCCACACUGGUUUUGAGACACGGUCCAGACUCCUACGGGAGGCAGCAGUGGGGAAUAUUGAACAAUGGAGGAAACUCUGAUGCAGCGACGUCGCGUGAGUGAUGAAGGUCUUCGGAUCGUAAAACUCUGUCCUAAGGGACGAUAAUGACGGUACCUUAGGAGGAAGCCCCGGCUAACUACGUGCCAGCAGCCGCGGUAAUACGUAGGGGGCGAGCGUUGUCCGGAUUUAUUGGGCGUAAAGGGUGCGUAGGCGGCCUUGUAAGUCAGAUGUGAAAGAUCAUGGCUUAACUGUGGUAAGCAUUUGAAACUGCAGGGCUUGAGUACAGGAGAGGAGAGUGGAAUUCCUAGUGUAGCGGUGAAAUGCGUAGAUAUUAGGAGGAAUACCAGUGGCGGAAGGCGACUCUCUGGAUGAUACUGACGCUGAGGCACGAAAGCGUGGGGAGCAAACAGGAUUAGAUACCCGGUAGUCCACGCCGUAAAGGAUGAGGGCUAGGGGGUGGGGGGUAAACCUCGGGGGCGCAGUUAAAACUUAAGGCCUCGGCCUGGGGAGUAGGGGGGAACAUGGAAAUUAAAGGAAUUGGAGGGGGACCGGAAAAGAAGGGGGAGGAAGGGGGUUAAUUCGAGGCAAGGGGAAGAAACUUAACGGGGUUGGAAUCCCCGGGAAGGAAAUAGCGGAAGGUUCUUUCCCUUCGGGGUCUGGGGAGACAGGUGGUGCAUGGUUGUCGUCAGCUCGUGUCGUGAGAUGUUGGGUUAAGUCCCGCAGCGGGCUCUUCCCUUCUCUUUAGUUGCAAUCAGUUAGGCUGUGCACUCUAGAAAAAAAACCAAUGNCUUUUCGGAGGAAGGUGGGGAUGCCGUCAAAUCAUCAUGCCCUUUAUGUCCUGGGCUACACACGUGCUACAAUGGUCGGUACAACGGGCAGCCACUUAGUGAUAAGGAGCUAAUCCCAUAAAACCGAUCCCAGUUCGGAUUGUAGGCUGCAACCCGCCUACAUGAAGCCGCCCUUCCUAGUUAUCGCGGAUCAGAAUGCCGCCUGUGCCUUCUUUGGCGGGUCUUGUACACACCGCCCGUCACUCCAUGGAAGUUGUCUAUUCCCGAAGCCAGCGAGCU
rnacentral:rRNA from 1 species